GGAGACUGAUGACUACCAGGAGGAUAAUACCAAGAGAUGGAAAUGUAUUCUUUAACAGGAACCUCACCAAAAGCCCAGGCAACAAAUGCAUCCCUCAUACGGUGACCCCUUUGUCACUUGGCUUUUCCACUGUGAGCUCACUGAGGGCAGCAGAUGUGUGCAUCUCCUCACCCAGCAGCCAUACCUUCCUUCUCCUGUGCUCUCCUUGGUAGCUGUCACUUCCACUGAGGUCUCAUUGCCCCCUUCAGUCCAGCAGCAGCCCCACCAUCAAGACUGGAGACUUCAGUCCCCCUCACCAGGUGCACGUCAGCUGCUGGGGGAAGCGGAGGCUCAGGAGCUUGGACAGAGGGUAAUAUUUAUACAUGAUGCAUAUUUUGCCUCGGAAUCCAAAAAAUGUUGGUUUUGCUUUAAUUAAUGUAGUUGAUGCCAAUAAAAGAUAAUACAUGCAUCAUCCCUAGGCUGACCAUUAUGAUGAGUGUUUGUACUCCAUAUCCUUUGAGUUUCCUUGCAGGAGAAUGUCAUCCAUAUGCCCAUCCUGAGUUCCCAAAACAAGUUGCAUACAGUUAUUAUGUUGCCUGUAAUGAUUACGUGCAAAGUCAUAUUGUAUAUCUUUAUGUAAUAAAAACAUUUGCUUGGGGCUUC